rnacentral:pre_miRNA from 1 species
AGUGCAAUUGCUGGGUCAGAUGGUAGUGACAUGUUUAAUUUUGUAAGAAACUGCCAAACUGUUCUUCCAGAGUGGCUGUACCAUUUACAUUCCCAUCAGCAAU